rnacentral:lncRNA from 1 species
UCGGAGCUCUGACAGCUCUGAAUCCCGCGCUCGCCGCGGCCGUUCACAAAGGGAGCAUGGCUGGGCCCCAUGGUCCUCCAAGACCCCCUAUCCCCUUUCCUAUCCAUACUGUCCUUAACCUGGUUGGAUCCGAAGGCAAACUAUUUAUAAAGCAGAAAUACACACUUAGGAGUUUAUGGAGGUGACAUCUAAUGCUGUAGAGUUAAACAAAACAGCCCCACUGCCCUGGAGUAAAGUUAAUUGACUAUCAAGGAGCAUGCCUUGGGAGUAUUCAAAGCACGGCGAAGGUUUGGCUAGAGAGUGGUGAGAAGACUGAAGCCGGUAAAGGUGCUUGCUGCCAAGCUGGAGGACCCGACUUUGAUCCUAGAGACCCACACGGUAGAAGGAACAACAACAACAACAAAAACAAUUCUUGCAAGUUGUCCUCUGACCUCCUGAUGCGUGUCAUGCCUUCAAUA